UACGUAGGGGGCAAGCGUUGUCCGGAUUCAUUGGGCGUAAAGAGCGUGUAGGCGGCCAGGUAGGUCGGUUGUGAAAACUGGAGGCUCAACCUUCAGAGGUCGACCGAAACCAUCUGGCUAGAGUCCGGGAGAGGAGAGUGGAAUUCCUGGUGUAGCGGUGAAAUGCGCAGAUAUCAGGAGGAACACCGGUGGCGAAGGCGGGCCUCUGGGCCGUAACUGACGCUGAGACACGAAAGCGUGGGUAGCAAACAGG
rnacentral:rRNA from 1 species